AUUGAACGCUGGCGGCAGGCUUAACACAUGCAAGUCGAGCGGGGUGAGGUGCUUCGGUACUGAUCCUAGCGGCGGCCGGUUGAGUAAUGCUUAGGAAUCUGCCAUUUAGUGGGGGACAACAUUCCGAAAGGAAUGCUAAUACCGCAUACGUCCUACGAGAGAAAGCAGGGGAUCUUCGGACCUUGCGCUAAAUGAUGAGCCUAAGUCGGAUUAGCUAGUUGGUGGGGUAAAGGCCUACCAAGGCGACGAUCUGUAGCGGGUCUGAGAGGAUGAUCCGCCACACUGGGACUGAGACACGGCCCAGACUCCUACGGGAGGCAGCAGUGGGGAAUAUUGGACAAUGGGCGGAAGCCUGAUCCAGCCAUGCCGCGUGUGUGAAGAAGGCCUUUUGGUUGUAAAGCACUUUAAGCGAGGAGGAGGCUACCUGGAUUAAUACUCUGGGAUAGUGGACGUUACUCGCAGAAUAAGCACCGGCUAACUCUGUGCCAGCCGCCGCAGUAACAC
rnacentral:rRNA from 1 species